GCCCCCGUAGCUCAGCGGAUAGAGCACUGGCCUCCGGAGCCAGAGGCGUGGGUUCGAGUCCCACCGGGGGUA
rnacentral:tRNA from 1 species